UACGUAGGGGGGCGAGCGUUGUCCGGAGUUACUGGGCGUAAAGCGCACGCAGGCGGUCUGCUAAGUUUGGAGUGACAGUUGGUGGCUUAACUGCCAAAGUGCUUCGAAAACUGACAGACUUGAGGGCUUCAGAGGGACACGGAAUUCCGGGUGGAGUGGUGAAAUGCGUAGAGAUCCGGAGGAACACCAAAGGCGAAGGCAGUGUCCUGGGGAGUACCUGACGCUCGAGGUGCGAAAGCCAGGGGAGCGAACGGG
rnacentral:rRNA from 1 species